CACUGUUGUGGGCCAUAUUACUGCGCAAGUGCAUUAUUGCACGGGUAGUCUGACAGAACAGUGAAUAUGUUUGUUGGCUAGUGAAGAAUUUGAAAUCCUGUAAAAUAAGUAAUCAAAAUAAGAAAUAAUUUAAGACAUUUCGCCCAUGUUUUAUUUCUGUAAAUUGAGCAGAGACUGAUAACUCAAUCGCGGAACUGUGGGGAUAAAGGUGGGAAGAUGUCAAAUCACUCGUCUUCUCACAGCUCUUCACCUAACACUGAUCGCAAGGUCUAUGUUGGGGGCUUCGUCAACGGUGUUGGUAAGAGUGAUCUAGAGCCUGCGUUCAGUUACUAUGGCCCUUUACGCAGCGUUUGGGUGGCCAGGCCCGCAUGUUUCGCCUUUGUGGAGUAUGAGAAUGCCCGUGACGCAGAGGAGGCAGUUAAAGGCAUGGAUGGAAAGGUGCUGUGCGCCUCUCGGAUCCAUGUGGAGUUGUCCACUGGCAUGUCACGGAAGACAAAACAUGACCUCCCCAGCCGUCAACACUUUGACCCUCAAGACCGCUGCUACCAGUCUGGGGACAGGGGCCACUAUGCCUACGACUGCUACGGUUUCAGCAAGAGGGGUGGAGGUCGUCGGAGAAGAUCACAGUCUCGUUCCAGGUCACGUGGCAGGUCACGUGGCAGCCGUUAUCGAUCCCGUUCCCGCAGCAAUGACCGCAGCAGGCACCGCUCCCCAUCUUAUCCCAAACAUAGGAAGAGGUCCGGCUCCCCUGUGUGGUCCAAGUCCAGGACAUCUGUUAGGAGUCGUUCUCGGUCAGGGUCCCGGGCCAGAGGGCGCUCGGCGUCCCGCUCUCUCCAGAUGCCGCUCUCCCAGCCAUAAGAGGAAUAGGUCCCUCUCCUAGAAUGACCAGGCCAGACCUUGAUUAGCUUCAGAGAGUCGCACACAGAGCUGAUGAGCCUGUACUCCGAGAAAGAGAGGCUGGUUUGGGUGACGGGCUGGGGGAGCGGGGCUCUUCUCUUUUCUCUUCUCCUUCAGAUCCAGCCUCAAUUUGAUUAGCUUCAGAGGGCGAGAGAACCUCAAACUCAAAAGAGAAAUCUGUCGUGAUCAGACUCCAGUGACCAAUCGCAUCAGGCCUUUUUUUAAAGAGUGUGGGGAGUCGACUGACUGCACAAGCACUGACCAGGGUCAUCCUUGCUGUGUUACCGUCCUCCCUGAGGGUGAAAAGAGCUGACCAGAAAUCAGCUUGCACCACGCUGGUUAAAGAGGUCGUUCUGACGAGACACAUCCAUCCUACGCGCGUACACACAGUUGUUCCACCCACCCCUCUCCCUCCCAGAACCCACGCACUACAGUCUUGAACGCUGAGCCGAGUUCAGUCGACAAGUUAAGGCCCCCUUCCUACAGAGUCCGGCCUCUUGCUUAGCUUCUGAGAGGGUGAGAAAGGAGAGCUGACAAGAGAUCAGACUUCAAGACCCGCCGAGUGUGUCUUCAAGUUCUAGAAUCCGUCGCUACUCUGUACAUGUUGUUUCUGCCACUGUCUCCAAAGUCGUUCCAGAUCUCCAAGCCAGAAAAAGAGCCCCACCCCAGGCGAAGAUUGAUUUGAAGACUAAACUUGUCCCCCUCCAACCAACUGGCUUUAGCCUUGCAGCUAUUUGUUUUGUCUUUGUUCCCUGCAUUGAUUAGAAUCUACCCCUACCUUUCUGAUGCUGUAUAAUUACUCUACAGGAUUAGCUUCAUAUCUAACCAUGCAUGCCUUACAUGUCACAUUCCUAAAAUGGCUUUUGUGUGUGUCAAAACAGUUCAAAUAGCUAAUUUCAGAAGUGGGAUUUGUGAACCAGAACUUUGUAUUUGUUAUUAUUUCUUAUCUACUAUAUUCAGUGUGGCAUUGCGUUAGAGCUGUAAAAUACUUUAAAUGUUGCUUUCCUUGGUUUAUGACACGGGCAGAUUUUGGAAUAAAUCGACACAUUAAUUCAGUGUUAUUCUUUUGAAAAUUGGGAACAUCUACAGAAUGUUUCUUACAUGGAGAUGUUUUAUAGUGAAAAAGGAAAUGAAAUGGUAUGUUUGCCAUGAAAAAUGGUUUGCAGUCAAUAAGUUUUCAUUUUCAAAAUUAUACCCCACCUAAUGCGUCGUACAUUAAAAACAGCCCUUAGCUGUGGUAUAUGUGUAAUCUUGGCUCUUUUCAACCUUGCCGAUUAAAGUCCAUUCUCAAAAAGCUGUAA